GACGAACGCUGGCGGCGUGCUUAACACAUGCAAGUCGAACGCUGAAGCUCAGCUUUUGUUGGGUGGAUGAGUGGCGAACGGGUGAGUAACACGUGAGUAACCUGCCCCCUUCUUUGGGAUAACGCCCGGAAACGGGUGCUAAUACUGGAUAUUCACUGGUCUUCGCAUGGGGGUUGGUGGAAAGGGUUUUUCUGGUGGGGGAUGGGCUCGCGGCCUAUCAGCUUGUUGGUGGGGUGAUGGCCUACCAAGGCUUUGACGGGUAGCCGGCCUGAGAGGGUGACCGGUCAGAUGGGGACUGAGAUACGGCCCAGACUACGACGGGAGGCAGCAGGGGGGAAUAUUGCACAAUGGGCGCAAGCCUGAUGCAGCGACGCCGCGUGAGGGAUGGAGGCCUUCGGGUUGGGAACCUCUUUCGCUCAUGGUCAAGCCGCAACAAUGGUUGUGGUGAGGGUAGUGGGUAAAGAAGCGCCGGCUAACUACGUG
rnacentral:rRNA from 1 species